UACGUAGGGGGCAAGCGUUGUCCGGAUUUAUUGGGCGUAAAGCGCUCGCAGGUGGUUCAUUGCGUCGUGCGUGAAAGACCCCGGCUCAACUGGGGAGGGUCGUGCGAAACGGGUGAACUAGAGGCCAGUAGGGGGAUGUGGAAUUCCGGGUGUAGUGGUGGAAUGCGUAGAGAUCCGGAGGAACACCAGCGGCGAAGGCGGCAUCCUGGACUGGUCCUGACACUCAGGAGCGAAAGCUAGGGGAGCAAACGGG
rnacentral:rRNA from 1 species